AGGACGAACGCUGGCGGCGUGCUUAACACAUGCAAGUCGAGCGGUAAGGCCUCCUUCGGGGGGUACACGAGCGGCGAACGGGUGAGUAACACGUGGGUGACCUGCCCUCAGCUCUGGGAUAAGCCUGGGAAAACCGGGUCUAAUACCGGAUAGGACUGCUUGCCGCAUGGUGGGUGGUGGAAAGUUUUUUUCGGCUGGGGAUGGGCCCGCGGCCUAUCAGCUUGUUGGUGGGGUGAUGGCCUACCAAGGCGGUGACGGGUA
rnacentral:rRNA from 1 species